GACACCAUCCACAGAAAAUCGGGAUGGAACGGAGUAUCCCAGAAAUGGGCAGGGCUGGCUGGCGGAUUCUGAUCAAGAGUACUCCCUGCUACCGCAUUUUGCUCUUCUUUUUUUUGUCACAUUGGUCCCACUUGUGUUCUUGCAACACAAUGCAGCUGUUUGGCCAACCGGUGCGUAUUCAUUUGCUGCGAAGCAAUCCAUGGUUUUUACCCACACGCCAUACCGAGCCCUUGGUCCGUUUGUGCCGUAGAUAUUCAAUUUACUCGCGUUCGUGUUGAGGGUGGGGGGGUGGGGGAGAGUCAUAAAAACGAUACCCCUGCUUUAAACCACUCAGAAGCUCUUUGGGGGCAAGGAGAAGGGACCCCAGGUUUGCAAGCGAUACGGCAGUACUUAGCUAACGCUCAGGUUUCGACAGCACCCUCCCACCCCCUUCCCUUCCCUUGCUCCCCCCAGUGGUUCCUUUAGUCUUUCUGGGAAGCUGCCAAACACCUGUGCAGCGAAGAGUGCAACAAAUAUUCUUGCUGUUUAAUUUAGCUUUGCACAGAAAAGGCUGCAUUAGGCCUGAUGUAGGCCUAAUCCCGGCCCUCUAAAGAGGUUUAAAGCGCUCUGGUUUCACCUAAUCCCGAAACCUAAGCCAGCAUCUUUGAAAACUUCCAUGACACCACAGAAUGAGCAAAUAAAGGGGCAUUCGACUAUUAAAUUAUUAGAAGGGACACAGUGUGUCUUUUGGAUUUUCAGACUUAAAGCUCUCCCUAAGGAGCUUGGCCGCGGCCACAAUAAGAAUGUUUAUUUUGCAGACAACAGGGUGGGGGUCUCGCUGACGGUUUAUUAUGCCUUGUCUGAUUGCUUGGGUGGGUGAGUGGGGGGAGAGCGAGAGAAGAAAGAAAAAGUGGUAAUAUCGCUGUGUGGUGGUUGGGCAUGUCGAAGAAAACGAAAGAAGGAGCAUGUCUAGACAUUGCAAGCUUACAAAAAAAACCCCCUCAAAAACAACCACCCUGAGCUGGUUUCUUAUUUUAUAGAUCGUUCAAACUGUCCAAAAUGCCACAUUUGAGCCUUUAAGCCUGAUUCCUCAUAAUGCUAAAUACGAGGGCUACUAAACAAGCAGAAAGGGAGCUCCUGGCAGCUUGCCCUAAGAGCAGUAGAUUGAAGCACAAUUUGGCUGGUAAUUGGCAAUAUGGACCUAUUGUUUUGCAGAAUAGUAAAGGAGGACCCCUGCUGACAGGCAAUUUAAUGUGCUUAAAAAAUAAGGUUGGGUUAGAACUUUGCAGGGAAAGGAGGCAUCUGAGAGUUCUGCAGGCACCCUGAUGGGCAGGUUUGGGAUUUUUUGCAGAUAUUCUGCAGGUAUUCAAUGCAACAAUAGCACAUUAAAAGGUAAAGGGACCCCUGACCAUUAGGUCCAGUCGUGACCGACUCUGGGGUUGCGACGCUCAUCUCGCUUUAUUGGCCGAGGGAGCCGGCGUACAGCUUCCGGGUCAUGUGGCCAGCAUGACUAAGCCGCUUCUGGCGAACCAGAGCAGCGCACGGAAAUGCCGUUUACCUUCCCGCCGGAGCGGUACCUAUUUAUCUACUUGCACUUUGACGUGCUAGGUUGGCAGGAGCAGGGACCGAGCAACGGGAGCUCACCCCGUUGCAGGGAUUCAAACCACUGACCUUCUGAUCGGCAAGUCCUAGUCUCUGUGGUUUAACCCACAGCGCCACCCGCGUCCCUAAUAGCACAUUAGUGGUGGGUUUAUAGUGGGUUUAAGGGUGCUGAGAGUUGUUAGAACCCCCGUUCCCCUCCCAGAACUACAGUUCCCAGAGUGGUUCAACAAUCAACCCCUCUUCAUAGGGUACACUGGGAAUUGUAGUUCUGAUUAGUGGCCUACUAACAGCUCUUAGCACGCUCAACAAACUACAGCUCCCAUAAUUCUUUGGGGGGAAGCCACAACUGUUUAAAGUAGUAUCAUAGCGCUUUAAAUGCUUGGUGUGAAUUCAGCAUUGCUCAAUUUAUGGUGGCCAGUCUUUACCCUAAUAUAUGCCUUAUUUGUACACGUCACCCACUGAGAGUCGCCAAGAUGCUAUCACAGGUGGCUGAGAUUAAGACCUGUCAAUCUAAUAAAUUGUAUACUUCUUUUAUCCCAUUGUAGCUAUGGUUUUCCCGGUAGUGAUGUAUGGAAGUGAGAGCUGGACCAUAAAGAAGGCUGAUCGCCGAAGAAUUGAUGCUUUUGAAUUAUGGUGCUGGAGGAGACUCUUGAGAGUCCCAUGGACUGCAAGAAGAUCAAACCUAUCCAUUCUGAAGGAAAUCAGUCCUGAGUGCUCACUGGAAGGACAGAUCGUGAAGCUGAGGCUCCAAUACUUUGGCCACCUCAUGAGAAGAGAAGACUCCCUGGAAAAGACCCAGAUGUUGGGAAAGAUGGAGGGCACAAGGAGAAGGGGAUGACAGAGGACGAGAUGGUUGGACAGUGUUCUCGAAGCUACCAACAUGAGUUUGACCAAACUGCGGGAGGCAGUGGAAGACAGGAGGGCCUGGCGUGCUCUGGUCCAUGGGGUCAUGAAGAGUCGGACACAACUAAACGACUAAACAACAACAACAAUCCAUUCCCUGCCAAGAUAUCUGGUAGAUUUACCAAAUGUUAAAAUGAGGAUAGCCUUUACACAGGCAAGACUAAACGUCCUUCCAUCAGCAGACUGGACAGGCCGACAUAAAGGAGUUCCUAAGAAGGACAGGGUUUGCAGCUGCAACUCUGUUAUCAGUAGAAGACAUAAUUCAUGUACUCCGUGAGUGCCCUUUCUGUGACAAUCUCAGAAACAAUCACAUCCACCCAUUGCUAAGAUCGCAGAAGGGAAGGCCGUCUCUUGCAAAGACCUGUCUUUUGCUGUCCGAUGUUGAGAGAUAUAUAUGCUGCACAUGUAGUUUCAUGGUGAAUUUUGGAUAUAAUGGAGAUGUAAAAGAUUUGGAUUGUUAUAAAAGAUGCAGGAGGAAAUGAUUAAUAAUAGGGCCCACAAAGGGGAGGAGG